rnacentral:lncRNA from 1 species
UUUUUUUUACCUAAUACUUUACAUACACUUACAAUAAGGGUGUGGAGACCGCAUUAUGAGAUUAUUUUAUUUACGUGGGGUCCACGUGCUUGUGAGAAUAGGCAAACCAUUUGAUAAACCAAAUUAUGUACACUUAGAAUUAUCCCAAUGACACCCCCCUCACAUGGAGGGUGCCCCUCAUAUGGUCGCCCUCCAUGUGAGGUAAAUUAUGCAUGGACCUACUUUUAUACGAGAGGAUUGUAAAGUAUUUUGUACAUCGAAGGUGUAGACGUAGCAUAACUCCAAUAUAAAACCCCAAAUACAAGUUUCAUGUUUUUUUUUCUUUCAGUAAAAAUUCUAAAAACACUCGAUGAAAAAUAAUCGCUUGAAUAAAAUUUUAUUCCAGUAAAAUUUUGAAAAUUAUAAAUUUUUAAAAAAUAUAUAUUGAUUGAUGCUCUUGACGAUUAUUUACACAAAAGUUCUAAAAAAUAUUUAAAUAAACAUGGUUAAAAAAUAUUCUUAAUCCAUGUCAUUAAUUUUAAUUUUAAUUUUCUAUAUUUUGAAGCCAAUUUAUUUUUUAUUUUUAUUUUACUUUUAUAACGAGAAAAAAUAUUGUAAAAGUCACUAGUUUUAAAAUGUAUAUAUUACUUCGUAAUAUAUCAACAUGGAAUCAUUCUCUUUUUGCUAAAUAAUCAAAUUUAGCGGAAUAAAAUAUUAUAAAAUAAUUUUCCAAAAUUUCUAAUCAAACAUAUUUUCUAAUUUUCUAUUUUAAGAAAUAAAUAUUUAGAAUGACAAAUUAAACUCAUUUUUAGUAAUCUUAAAACAAACCCUCAAAUCAGAAAACUGAAAAUGAAUUCAAAACUGAAACCUAAAAAACUGAUCAAACAGGCCAUUACAUUUUUCCAACAAAAAAAAAAAAAAAAGGGGGGGGGGGGGGGGGGGGGGGGGGGGGGGAAUAAAUAAAAAAAUCAAACAUGAGACAAGACCUGAAAUAGUAACAACUCCAUUAAUUACAACGAACAGUAUAAUGACAUUUAAAUGAGCAGUCAUCCAAUUUAAUCGAGAAUAAUAAUUUGUUUUCGGUUUUCCAGUUCUCCAUCACGAUAAACCAAGAACUAAAACGUUAACUCCACUUGACUACAUGCCCUCUCUUUUGAUGAAUGUAUCGAAAGUAAAACAAUGGAUAUGUUAGAUCAGCAUACUACCUCUGUGUUCUAUACCUUCAAAUUUGUUUUGCAACUCAAAAGAUUUAAUCUUCAAUCACUUUCAAGUCAAGGAAACAGAGAAAAUGAAAAGGAACAGAACUCCGGAAGAAAAGAACGUCAGUGAAGAUGCUGGAGAUGUUAGCUUAGCAUUUUGGUGCCAUUUGUGGACGGUUUGAUGAUGUGUAUGUUCAUCCCCCUUGUCCGUCCUGGUGCCCCACCUUUAGUUGAAGAUAAAUCGAGCAAAAACCUACACGAAAGGCUUAAGAAGUUAAAAUUUAAAAAAACCAGAAACAUCUUAAAUGCUUAGCUGUAGAUAACAUACGUGUUUCUAUCCGAGUUUUCUUCUGCAUUGCCACAGUUUAUGAGGAUCUUCUGAUCAAUUUUUGAAGCUGUAUGCUCCAGAGGCACUUCAACAAAUUCUGGCACUAAAGCUCCAAAAGAUCAUUUUUAAGAUAUACUAAUUUUGUACUUAAAAUUAAAGGGAAACCAAUGAAAUGAAACCAUUGGUUGAGACACUUACAUAAUUUGUGUAUGGUCUCGGCACCCUCAUUAAGGCCCAAUAGUUUCUACAACACAUUAAAAAAUAUAAUCUCAGAUGUCACUCUUUUUUGGUUCUUUGCAGAUAAAACUUUAAAAGAUGCCAUUAAGAUGAAAUAUAUGUUUGUACAAGGUGCAGGAGCAUGAAUCACCUUAAGAUUCUUGUAACAAGUCUCAAGGUCAUCAUUCACCAAGAUAUGAUCAAAGAGGCCUGGUGAGUUUCCCUGUUCAAGCUCCACCCUAGCAUUUUUGAGCCGCUUUUGGAUCUGUUCCUCUGUCUCAGUCCCCCUGUUCCCACGGUUAACUUUUAUCAACCAAAAUGCAAACAGGAGGGAGAAAUUUUUUAAGGCACGUUUGGAUUCAGUAUGAAGGAUUAGUUGGUACUUUUUCUUACUUAAUACUAUCCAAUACUGUUAAAUUCACACUACCAAACAUGUCAUCAAUGUCCAAUACUAACCCACCUUGCCCGAAGGCGCUUCUCAAGAUCUUCAAAUGAGGGAGGACGGAUAAAGAUAAAAAUGGCUUCAAGAGAACUAGCCCUCACAGACCUUGCUCCUUGAACAUCAAUGUCAAGGAUGCAUCUCUACAUUACAAGAAUGCAAAACAACCUCAAGUUCGUAAGAUAAAGAAGCAUCAUUAUAUAAUGCAUGACACUUUGUCAAUGUUACAGUAGAAGCCGACAAUUCGAUAGCAAAAAUUCUUCUCCCUCACUUUAUUCUAGGUGGGUUAAGAAGAGCUAUACACAUUGCACAAGAUGAGUCCAUUUCAAGGCAGCAAAACAUAUACCUUUCCUUUAUCCGUAACUGCCUCAACAGCUUCUAUACUGGUUCCAUAAAGGUUUCCAUGGACGGACGCAAACUCAAGAAACUUUCCAUCCUGUAUAUCUUUCUCCAUGACAUUACGUUCAGUGAAAUGGUAAUGCACCCCAUUCUGCUCUUUGUUCCUUGAAGCACGGGUCGUGUGGCUUACUGAAAAUCCAAACUUUGAUGGAAAUUCUUCCACCAGUUUGGAAAUUAGGGUACCCUUACCAACUCCAGAAGGACCGCUAAUUACAAUGGGUAUUUCAGCUUCGCCAAUAACUCCUUUACUCCAAGCAACCACAUCAGUCUCAAAUCUCCUUUUUUGUUCUCUAACAAAUGCAGUAUUCACCUGCAAAAUAAGUAACAAAGUUAGCUGGUUAAAGACUAGAACAAAACUAACAAUAAUGUAUAAGAUCAUGGAAUUGGGUAUUUAUCAUGCUUAAAAUUCAAGAACAUCAGGUUUUGAUUCAUGUUUGAUCAAGGUCCAUGGAGAAAAAUAUAUGGAUUCUUUCACUUAUCAUUGACUCAAGUCGUCAUAAGUUCUCGAGUCAUCAAUGAAAUAAAGAAAAAUCAUGCUUCUAUCCAUUUUCCAAAGAGCAAGAGGUACCAACUUCGAGAAACCAAAAGCAAUCAUCAGAAGUGGAGUUUCCCUUAAUAACCAAAAUCCUGUCUUCAUCAAAAAGAACAGCUGAAUAGCAUUUUGAAGAGUUGGGUUUUGCUCCCAACACAAUAGGGAUUACCCUGCAAAUUUUAUCGAUAUAUUUCAGUGCCAUGACAGAACUAAUGAUAACUUCUACAAACUAGUCUGUUUAUUAAAAACUCACCAAUCACCUAUAGAUUUGUCAUAGAUCCGAACUUCAAUGUUUGAUGUUGAUUCAUUGUCCAUCCCACCAAUGACAUACUAAAACAAAUUAGGGACUCAGAAUACUAGCUUAUUACCAAGAAACUUUCCAUUAUAUGCAAGAAAAAAUAACAAAAAUUUGAAGAAAAUAUAUUCAAUAUGCUGAUUCAUCAUACUGUUUUACUGAGGCCGAUGUUAAUAGCCGUUUCAUGGCCUUCCAAUUUUAAAAUAUCCCCAUUUGUUAAAUCUUUCUUUAGAUCGUCUAUGAAGAAAGCUGGAGCUUCACCCUGAUUACAACAUGACAAAAUUGAACAUCAGGUCACAGUAUCAGCCAUUUAUCAAAGCCUUCCUUUUUUUCACUACUUUGGGGCCAAUUAAAACGAAAAACUAAAAAUAAAAAUUGUAUAUACAAUAUGCUCACCAUUAACACAGGCUAUCCUCAAAAAUGAGACUGAAUCUGAUAUUAAAAAUAAAUAAAUAAAGGAAAGAUGAGAUCAAAACAAAAAUCAAAAUUCUGGAUCUUAAAUUACAUAUAAAACUUCAACUCGAACAGAAAUAUCCGGAAAUAAGAUUAAAAACAUUUUAAUGCCCAAAUCUUUAGCUUAAACAAAAAAAAAAAAAAAAAAGGUUUCGAUUACAUAUACGAUCUGAAACAGCAUUGACUUAAGAUAUACGCAUCUUGCGGCUUUCAAUAAAUUUUAUAAAAGCCCAUUAAAUAUAACAGUUUUCAUAAUUCAAAAAUUAAAGUCCUUUCUAUUUACGGAGCUUAGAUAAUGAUUGUUAAACAUUAAACAAUUCUUGAAAACAGAAAAAAUAAAAAAUAAAUCACCUGAAUCUAGCUAAUAGAAGGAGAAGAAACCAAUAAUUCGAAGUAGAGAGAAUGACAAUACCUGUCAAAUAACAAUUUAUGCUAAUUCAAGAGAAGUCACUUGAAAAGAAUCAAUAGAAAACCAAAGACAACGCAAAAAAUUUAAAUAAGGACAAACUUGAAAAAUUAGAAAUUUCGUAGAAGAACAAAAAUAAUUUGCAAAAAAUUUCGAGCGGUGCUUUCAUAUUUGGAGCGCGAGAGAGAACAAAUGGCGACAAAAGAAAGGUGAGAAAGGUGGCUUUUUGGCCCUCGUUUGCCCCCUUUACAUCUAGUUAAAUUAAAUUAAAUUUUCUUUUUUAACUACACAUUUUUAAUAAAAUAAUAUUACACGUAAAUUAAAAGUUUCUCAUUCUUUUAUUAUCAUCAAUUUUUCAAAAAAAAAAAAAUUAUUCCCUCGUUAUAAAUUAAAUUAAUAGAGGCCAAACAGGAAUUUGAUCCCAUUUAGUUCACAAAACUUUAAAAUUUAAAGUCCAUGUAGACUUCCUUUAACUAUAUAUAUGUUUAAAAAGGAAAAUUCUCUCUUGGGUAAUAUUUAGACAUUAAUGAUUUAUCCGAGGUAACUUUUGUCAAAAUAGAUUUGUAAUAGCAAUUUUUCUUAGAAUUUGUAAUUAAAAAGUUAGAUUAAUGUAUCAAAUUAUUUGAUUAAAAAAAUAUAUAGUUGAAAAUGAAUUUGUAAGUAAUGAAGCUAAAAAAUGAGCUACAAAAUGGAAUGGCCUUUUGAUUUGUGUAUCAAUUUUGAGAUUUGAGUUUUAUUUUAUUUUUUUUUAUGGGAGUUUGUUUUAAGAUUGUUAAAAAUAAAUUUGAUUUAUUAUUUUAAAAAAUCAUUUCUCAAAACAAAAAACGAGAAAAUACGUUUAAUUUGGAAGUUUGAAAAAUUAUUUUAUGACAUUUUUAUUUCAUGAAAUCUAAUUAUCUAACAAAAAUAUAAAAAUUUUAUGUUAAUAUAUUAUCAAAUAAUAUAUAUAUCUUAAAGUCGAUGAAUCCCACAAUAUUUUUUUCUCACUUCAAAAGUAAAAUAAAAAUAAAUAAUAAAUUGAGGUCAAAAUAUAAGAAAUAAAAAUUAAUAACAUGGACUAAGAAUAUUUUUAGGUGUGUUUAUUUAAAUAUAUUUUGAAAUUUUUUAUGUAAAUACUCAAGAGCUUGACUGUUUUUAUUUUUUAUUCUCCAUAUUUUCAAAAUUUUUCAUUUUAUCUUCUUAAAAUGUUAUUUGUUAAAACUCUAUACAUUUAUAUUUUAGCUUUUUUAAUUUUUAAAAUUUUAUUUAAAAAACGCUUGUUUUCUAUGUUUUGAGUUUUCUAAUUUUUCACUGAAAAUACUCAAAACGUAAAAAAUGUUUUUGAGUUCUAUACUAUAAGUUUAUCCUUGUUUUUGAAAAUGUAUUUUCAUAAAUAAUAGACCAAACACAUGUUUAGCAUUUUGCAAUAUCGAAAAUGAUUUGAAAAGGUUUUAGGUUACAAUACCAAUAGAGAUAAUAGCCUUUUUUAGUUUAGAUAAAAAUCGAUAUUUUUAGUAAAUUUUGAUAGAAAUUAAUUUGUGAUGUGAGGUUAAAAUUAAUUUGGCUUGAACUUUAAUCAAAAUUUUUAAUACAGGUACAUAAUAUUUUACAAUCAUGUGUAUAGUUGCUUAGAAAAACUCCUAUGGUCACCCAAGUUAUGGAAAAGUUUUAUUUUAGUUACUCAAUUUUAAUUUUUAUUCAAUUUAGUCAUUUGAUUUGCCUAACUUUAGUGAAUGAAAAUAAAAGAUUUUGCUGAAAUUAUUCAUUUGAAAUUUCCAAAACGCUAAUCAUAUAUACAAAUCUACAUACUAACCUAGUGUUGAUCAGUAUUCUAAAAGGCCCGUCUAAACGUCGCCUAGGCAUCGUUUAGGUGUGAGGCUUGAGCAAAACGUCACCCUUGGCAAUAAGCGCCUAGUGACACUUUAUUAAUUUUUUAAAAGCCUUUUAUUUAACUUUAGUUUCCAGUUUUUUAAUGACUUUAUCAAUAUAAAAAACAAAAAUACGAAAAUAUGUUAAAAAUUCAAAUAGGACUUGCCUAGUUGAAAGUUGAAGUUAUAAAAAAUAGUCUAGUUUGGCAUGUAUUGUUUUAAUUAUUAAAUAAUUUUUAAAAUGAUUAGAAAUUUAAAAUAAUAUUAAAAUAAGAUAACGCUUGUUACGCCUAAUUCUCGCAUAAGCUCGUAAAAUUUGAAACUUGACCUCCACAACUAAUCAUACUUUACAUCUCUUCGAACACUGAUGUUGAUAUGAUGAAGUUUAUUGCGAUAAUGAGACCAUGUUAAAUGGUUUGCCAUAUUUUUCCUAUCUUCAGUGCUGACUCAACCAAAAUUAAGUAUAAUCUCUCAUAUUCUUAAGUCAAUUGUAUCGUUCAAUAAUUUACAUAUUGAAAUUCAUAUGCAAUUAAAUGCUUGAGAAAUGAAUGAUAAAUGAGAGUUACUUUAACAAGAAAAAACGUUAUCUUUUCAAUUCUUUAUAAAAAUAACUCGAGUUAUGAGUUCGUUUAAGAGGACAAGUCAUUUUCUUUGGUUCAAUUCCUCUUAAACGUUUGCUCUCUUUCCAAAAGCUAAAUCUUUGUUCGUGAAACAUUAUUAAUAAAUUUAAUUUAAUAAUACGUUAAAGUCUAAUACAAUUUUUCGUCUUUUGGCACAGCAAAUAUGAAUAUGGAGCCAAUUAUCAACUAUACUGCCAAUUAAGCCAAGCAGCAAGAGAGACUUGUCGUUUAAAGAAAUAGAGAUAAAAAGAUGGAAUUGAUGGGAAGGUGCCAUUGUUCAGGUCCAAUGAAUGUGAUAUGAUCAAUAAAUGUAGGGUCGACAAAACAUUUGUUCUGUUUAGGUUGUUUCCAUGAAUUCUUCAAAUUGAUUAACCCCUCUUUAGAAGUUCAAAUUAAUCAUUUUUAUUAAGACGGCUUGCAUUAUAUUCAUAUCUUUAAAUGUAUUGGUCUUUAAAGUGGAUUCUCCUCGACCUCAAUCCCAAUCCUAACCCCGAACUCGACAUCGAUCGACCUCAACCUCUCGACAAUUUAUAUUCACUUUCAUUUUAUAAGCAUAUUGGGCUCCGAUAAGUACCGUUGCCAGCCAUGCAAACACAAACAAACAAGAAAACUUGUGAAGAAUAAAGGCCACAAGCCACCACCUGAGAAAUCAAUACAAAAGUCUCACACUUCAUCUUCAUUCCGAACAUACAACACAAAUUACAGCAGAACUAAUAUCCUAAGAUUUAGUUGAUUUAUCCCUAGUUGGUGUAGAUUUGUGUUGAAAAUUCUGUUAAGAAUAUAACAUGUAGUGAGAAGGGCUUCCCCCAACAUGGAUAAAGGUAAUCUAGAAGAGUUUUGUAUUGAAGUGACCAUAUCCUUAAGAGUUCUAUUUUUCCUUUCAACUACACAUUAGAUUGAGGAGAAUAAGAUUGAGUAGUCUCAUGAAUAAUACCAUUAUCAAAACAAUAUUUAUCAAAAUCACCUAUAUAUUCUAUCCCUAUCGGGCCUUAAAAUAUUAAUGGUUUUUCUAGCUAAUUUUCUACUUCAGAUUAAUAUGAAAUAAAUUUGAAUAACUUUCAUCCUUACUCUUAAAAAGAUAAAUGUAAUAAUAUCAAGAAUAAUCGUCAAUCAAAAUUAAAAUAUAUUUAUUUAUACUACAAGUAACAUAUCCUUUUAAAUCACAUAAAUCGGAAUGGAUUAAACUUAAAAGGAGAGUAGUUCUGUCGACAUGAAGAAAUGGUUUUCUAGUAUACUUAGAUCAACACAAGUUCACAUUUUGUAUUUGAAAAUACAAAAUGUCUCCCAAACUCAUUAUUUUUCAAUAGAAGUUAUAUCAACGUGUUAAAGUCUAGCAUGCCACAAAUAAUAAGAAUCUAGCAAGUAAACAGAAAAGUAGAUGCUUUAUUAUUGAUUAUAGAGUCAUUGAGUUUAAAGAGACUCUCAUCUGCAUGUCAUUUCCGAACAAAAGAACCACCCUUAGAUAGUACAAUUUAGUCACUCUCAAAUGCAAUCUUAAAUUCCUUUUUAACUAAGAUAAAUUCAAAUACUAGAUUUUUCCUAAUUUCAAAUACAUAAAGGAUAUCCUUCAAACUAAGGAUAUUUCUAGAAGUAAAUCUAAGUGUCACUAUUCAUUUCCCUUCGAUUUUGGAGGAAGCACUCCUCGUGAACAGACAUUCUCCAUCAUUAGUAGGAGUGAAUGAAAAAAAUGUACCUCUCGUGCAGCAAAUGUGCUUGGUAGUUUCAGAAUCUACCCACCAAUCUAUGUGUUGCUUACUAGAUUAAUUUCUGUCACCAUAGCAGAGAAAUCCACAUCCACUACUACAUGUGUCUGAUUUUUCACAAUUUUUCCUUUCAUGCUUCUGUAAUCCUUUGCAAUGACCCCUGGUUUACGAUGCACAAAUCAGUCACCAAUAGUUUUAUUUUAAAAUUAGGGUUUAGACCAUUUGUUCUUUCUUACGAAUUGCUUUCCCUUGUUUCUACCUUUAAAGUUCUGACCUUCGGUAAAAUUUUCAACAAUUUUUUUAUUACUAGAACUUCCUUCAAUAAAAUUAGCUUUGGUAUCGAAAUCUAGUCUAUCCCUAUGUUCUACCAUUCUAUUAUUCUCCUCAAUUCUAAUUCUAAUAAUCAGAUCCUCUAAGGUCAUUUCUUUUCUAUUCUGCUUCAAACUAUUUUUAUACUCUUUCCAAGAAUGUGAUAAUUUUUCAAUUAUAGCAGAUAUUUGAAAAUCCUUACAGAUUUCAUGAAUUAUGAUCUGUAAUUCUUCAACUUGACUAACCACAGUUCUAAUGUCAUCCAUUUGAAAAUCUAGAAAUUUUUUCUACAACAAAUUUCUUAGUUCCAGUAUCUUCGAUAACAUAUUUUAUAUAUAUAUAUAUCAUGACAACUAAUUAUAAAUGAAUUUUACUUUAGAAUAUUGAAAAAUAACUAGUUGUCGUAACUUGCAAAACAGUGAAAUGGAAAAAUAGAACUUAUCGAUUGAUCGAGUUUCAUGACAGCAUAAUAUCCUAGAGUGAAAUUUUAUGUUGUUAACCACUGUGACCUUUGUAGACAAAUCACUCACAGGAUACAAUGGUCAACCAAAUCACUUGUACAAUAAUUACGAAUGAUUUUAGAACUCUCAAGUGUACUCGAUAUAUAUAUAACGCGAGUAUGAAAAUUAUAAUUUUACAUUUUUAUGUAACUUUUCCAAAAUUAGAUGAGUGCUUAUAUCGACAAAAUAGAUAUAAGUACCCCUACAUGAUCUAGAAAGAUUAGCAAUUUUUAAUGGAAUGUGGAUAAUGAGUUGUUGAAACCCGAUCAUAUUAUACUAGCUAUUUGACCCAUUAAAUAAUUUUGAAAAUGAUUAAAAAUAUAUAAAAUAUUAUUUUAAUCAAGGAAGCCUAUGAGCCCAAAGUCCCAAGGCCUAAUCAAAAACUUUUUUAUUAUUGCGUGUGAUGUGACCCCGAACCCACAACUUCCAACACAAAUUUCACACUUUCCACCAAUUGUGCGCUUAAUCUAAAUUAGUUAUUUAUUUUAUAUAUUAUAUGUAUUAUAUAAAUAUCUAACACAUAUUAUAUUAGUCCAAUAAAUAACGUUUUUUCAAUAUAGCAUAAAAAAUUUCCCUAGCCACGCCAAGUUUUUAAUGGUGUUUCUUUGCUUAUGGUGACUAAUUUAAUGCUGGUGACAAAAUGAGCAGGGGAUUUAAGGAAGAAAGAUGAUGGAGGGAGGGGGAAUUGGGGAAGAAAAUAUUUUAAGACAAUAAUAUCCUUUCAUUUUGAAAGGAAAAAAUGACUAUGCCUGUUCACUUAAAAUGAGAAGUUGGAUGCAAAUGAACGGAAGGUAUGAAUGUUUUGUACAAUAAUUGUGAAAUGUAGAUUAUGUGUUAAUAAGUACCCUUAAGAAAAAUGCCACUAUAUACUUUAUUUGAUUUAAGUAAAAUAAUAAAAGCAAGAAAACAAUAAAAGCAUAAAGAAUAGAUAAAUAACAAAUUAUCACACCCACUCCUUACCCCGACACUCAUAUCUACCAUCAGUGAUUGCAAUCUAACCAAAUGAUGCCAUACUGUUAAAGAAAUCCAAUGGUAUGAAGGUAAAAUUGUAUACUUUUACAUAUAAACGUUUGUGUAAUGUCGAUUUCAUGAAGAAAAUGUGUUAGAAUUCGUUUGUGUAGACCUUAGAUUGAUUAUCAAUUUUAGUAUUGGAGAAAACUAGAAGGACCUUCAAUUCUUGAGUUAAAAGUCUUAAUGAUCCGGAAAAUAUAAACAUAGCAAAAUAUAUGAAAAAUAUGAUAGGCUUCGUGUUCAUUUUACAUUCGUGGGCGCAGAAGGAAAGAAAGUUUGUAGUGUAGAAAUAUAAAGCAAAAAAAUAAAAUAAAACAUUAAAAAUUGAAAUAAUUAUAUUAAAAAUAAAAAAUUUAUUAUAAUUUUUUUAAAAUUAAAUUAAAAUUAAAAAAAUUAAGUUUGAUCAUAAUUUGAAAAGAAUUAAUAAGAAUUUUAAAUCCAACAAAAACUUAUUUACAAUAUGAAUAAAAAAGAAAUUUUAAAACAAUUUUUAAAAAAUAUAUAUAAUAAAAAAUUUAAAAAAAAGAAAGUUACGAAAAUUAAAUAAAGAAUAUAUAAAUAUUAUUUAUUUAAAUUGAAAAAGAAAAGUUUUAUUAUAAAAAGAAAAUAAUUAAAAAGAAUUUUAAAUAAAAAAGUUAUUUAUAAUACGAACAAAACAAAUUAAUCAAAAGAAAAAAUAAAUGAGGAAAAAAGGAAAAAGGGAAAGGAAAACAAAAGAAAUAAAAGAAAAAAGAAAAGGAAAAAAUGGGCCGACUUUUUGGCCCAAACAUACAACGAAAAAAGGGGGGAAAAUGGAAAAGAAACAAAUGAGGAAAAAAACGAAAAACAAGGAAGAACGAAAAAAAGGAAAAAAUGGGGGGAAGGGGGAAAAAUAACAAAACAAAAUGGGCCGAAUAAAAAACAAAAAAAGGGUCGACUGUUUAACAACAUAGUAAGUUUUCAGCGAUUGUUCUCUAGGGAAAUGAUGAGUUCGGCGAUUUCUCGCUAUUUCCGACGAUCUCAACCCAUAUUUUUUUUGCCAAAAAUAAUUUCUAAACCCAAUAAUCUACCUAAACACGAAGAAUAAAUAUCAUAAAUAACAAUUUAAUACACAAAGUCACAAAACAUACAAAAUGAAAAAUCAAUCUCUUAAACCCACAAAAUAACUAACCUUUUUGAAGAUUAUGAGCAAGUUUUGUGGUGGUUGGUGUUGAGUAGACUGUGAGGAUAUUGAGCUCGAUCGGAUCCCGACUGAAAAGAUUGUGUGAAUUUUUAUUUUUGCUUCUUUUCUCUCAUCUCCUUUCUUUAUUGAAGAUGAGGGCAAUAUUGACAAAUGGUAUAUAAAAUUUCUCUUUUAACUUAAUUUUUUUUUUUAAAUGGUCAAAGGGUAUUGUGGAAAUAUGGUUGGGUCAAAUGAACAUUUUCAUGUAUUUCCUCGGGAGUAGUAGGAUAAUGAUUGUGAGCAUUUUUUAACAUAUCAAUUUUGAGUGUGCAACGCUGUUGCACGCAUAGUGAUGACAAUCGGGCCGAGCGGCUUUUUUGAAAAAGUGACUCUUUCGGGCACUUUUUCAGUGACAGUUAAUGGUCACUGAACUUUUAUUUUUAUUUUUUUUAAAAUUUUUCUCACUUCUAUAAAUAGCUCCAUUAAUCCCCUAUUUUUUCAUCUCAAUUCUCAACUCUUUCUAUCAAGUCUCAACUCUCUUAUGCAAAAUAGCCUCGAUUACUUAGUCAAUUAUCUACAAUUAUCCAAUAUUGAUUCAUAUUUUACAGUUUAUUCAGUUUUAAUUUCAAUUCAUCCAAUUCUCAUUUUUCACUACAUUUAUUGAAAUUUUGUCCAAUUCUCGUUUCUCACUACAUUUAUACUUUUACUAUUUAUUAUAUUUGGAUUUCAUCACAAACAAUCAAACAAAUGGACCCACGCUCAUUUGUUGAGGGCUUGUUCAAUACGGGAUGUAGCGAAUCAUCUAAGACGCUGCAAAGUCAAUUUCAGAACGAAUUUGUUGGUCUAAAUGACGUACACAUACCUGAUAAUAUUGACAUUCAUGGUCAUGGAAGCAACAAUCCAAUUGAUUUGAAUGAUAUUAACGUUUUCGAAGCAGAACAUGAGGACAAGGAGCCCGAAUUAAACAUUCCAGAUGAGAGGGGAAAAGCGAAAGAGGAAAAACAAACAAAAUGCUGGGAUCACUUUAAACUGAUGUCAACGAGAAAAGCCGUCGAUGGCUUCGCAGAAUCUAAAAUAGUAUGUAAAUACUACCAAAAAAGAUUGACAUGGCAAAAAGAAAUUUGGUACCAUCCAUCUCAACUGUCAUUACAAAGCAUAUGAAGUCAGACAUGGACUUCAUCCAACCGGUCAAACACAAUUGCAAUUUGACAGUCUAAGGUUCCACGACUUCACCCCUAUCCACAUGGGUGUAUUCGGAGGAGAAAGAUCGAACCGAAAUGGUGAAAUUUGCUGCUGCCACUGAGUUAUCUCUAGCUAUUGCCGACAACCAACACUUCGUCUCAUACGUAAAAGAAUAUCUGCAACCAAGAUACGUUGGGGUAAGUCGAAACACUCUUCGUGUCGAUACAAAACAAUAUUUCAAUGAUUCGAAACAACGAUUAUUUAUGGCUUUGCAACAAUAUUAUGGCAUUAUAUAUUUAACUUUUGUAACUGCACACUAUAUAAACCUACUUUGGUGCACAUAUAAAAAAACUAUUGCUUUUAGAAUUAUUAAGUUUCCUCACAAUGCUAAUAAUAUAUCUAAUGCUAUUAUCAGUAUUGUUAGAGAAUAUAAUUGCGAGACUAAAAUUCGAUAUUUUACUUUAGAUAAUGCUAGUGUUAAUAAAGUAAUUGUCGAUAAAUGAUUAACUUCAAAGGAUUAGGAAUGCGCUAGUAUAUAUCCCGAUCUCUCCUAAUAGAAAACAAGCAUUUCAAGAUUAUUGUACUAAAAUAAAGGUAACGACUACUAAACAUUUGUUAGCGACGUCGGCCAUAGAUAAAAUUCUACUUACUUGCUAUUAAAGUCAUGUGAAUGUUUUGAAUAUUUAACAACUGAAUUUUAUAACAAUCGACAUGUUAGAAGUCAUGACGAUGCUAUGUUGAAUGAAUCCGAUUGACAUUUAGUUUUGAAAGUUAAAAAUUUUUGACAUCUUUUUAUAAGACCAUAAAGAUUUUAUCGGGCGCUUAUUAUUCCACAAGUUGUAUGGUACUUGAACGCCUUUAUAUAAUUGCAAAAACAUUCCAUAAAUAUAAAAAUGACAUUGAUUUUAGUGAAAUUAUAAUUGUUAAGGAAUUAAAGUUUAGAAAAUAUUGGGAAUACUUGCAUAUGUUAUUCCUUUAGCAUGCACAAUGGACCCCGAUAUAAUUUAUCAGGAACUAAAUACGUAAUUGAUCAAAUCAACAAAGCCUCAUCGUUUAAUAUACCUAUCACCUAUAGGAAUUUACAGUAAACAUUAUGUGAAAUGUAUGAAUUAUGUACGGACCGAAUGUGUGCUAAUUUUAGUUGAGUACCAUCUCCACCUACUCCUUCUACUAAAAUUGAAGAAAAUGACGUCGAAAUAAUGAAUUUAUUUUAAGGCAUUAAUACAUAUAGAUAUGAAUGGGAUGGCAAUCGGGCUUGCCAACUCAAGCCGCCUGUGACUCGGCUCGAAAAAAGCUUGAGCCCGCCUGACUUGAAAUUCGGGAGAGUCGAGCCCCAUUUUUAGGUGUCAGCCCGUGUGGCUCGCCGACUCGGACAUAUAAUUAAAAAAAAUAAAAGGCAGCACUCUGCCUUGUUUGGCAGCAAUCUGCUACCAUUUUAUAAUAAAAAAAAUAUUCCAAAAUCAAACAAAAUUCGAGCCGGCCCGGCUCAGCUUGUUUCGAAAAAGCUUGAGCUGAAAGCUCGGGUCGAGCCUAAUUUUUUUUUUGCCGAGCUUUUGCUCGGCCCAAAAAAAGCUCGGAUAUUUUACCCAAGCCUAGAAUUUCUGCUCACAAGCAGGUCGGCUCGGCUCCUUGACAUCCAUAGAUAUGAUGCAGCUGCAAUGUGUUCAUCUAGUCCAUAUCGUCAUAUCUACAUCUCAUCAAACAUCGGUUGCAACUCAAAAUGUGAUGCCUACCGAAUUAAUUGAUUACUUCAAUCAGAUCAUGCCAUCGACAAAACAAUUUAAAAAAUUCAGAAGAAGUAAUUGAAUUCUGGAUAAAAGUAUGAAAGACGUUGGCCAGUUGUUUAUGCAAUUGCGAAAGAUCUGUUGGCACCUCAGUUUAGCAUUGUUAAUUCAGAGUCUGUUUUUAGUGCAGGCCAAAGGGUUUUGACCCAUGUUACAAGUCGACUGAAUGAAGAUGUUUUUGAAGCCUUAAUGUGUGUGAAGGAUUGAUCGGACGCUCAUUUUCAACUAUAAGAUAAUUAUGUCGAAAUUGCAUGUCGUCAGGUAAGUAAUGUUUGAUUUAAUUAUAUUAAUCAAAAUUUCUUAUUUUUUAAUCGUUAUAUUUAAGUUUCUUUAAAAAAUUGUACACGUUACAACAAAUUGUUAUUGUACAACUUUUAACUCCAUCUACUUAAAAUUGAUGUAUGAGGGUUUACAUUUUAUCUAUUUUAAGAAGAAAACGAAAAAAUGUAUUUUUUUAAAAUAUAUUUUAAAAAAAAUUAUCUUCAUUACAUAAAUAUUUAACACUUUAUAGAAAAUAUUACUAUAUGAUAGAAAUAAAAUAAAAAAUAAAAAAUUGUCUUCAUUGAAUUAUUUUUUUAAAAAUACAUUUGUGUUCAUCUUUUUUUUUUCUGUUUAAGAAAAACAACAAAAAAGACGAGCUCGUGAAUCAAAGUUCAGCUCGACCCAUGAGCUCUUGGGCCGAGCUUGACCCCGAGCAACGAGCUGAGCUCAAGCUCGAACGAGCGCGGCUCAAGCUCGAACGAGCGCGACUCGAGCUCGUGUGUAGCCAGCUCGACCCAUUACCAUCCUUAUGCAUACAACACUCGGGACUGCUGCUACAAUACAGUAGCACGCAGCGAUGCCAUACCCUAGACGUCAUUGCUGCUUGCGCGCGCUCGUCGAGCUACAGAGUAUGUGUGGCCACAUGAGUUUCCGGCUCUAGUUGCGGCGAUUGUUGUCACCGACCAUGCUUCCUAACUUUUCAGUCCAAUUUUUGAAACAAAAAUCAAUUUUCCUUUCAAAAUAGAUUUUCGCAAAUAAAAUAUAAAUUUCUGAAUUGCUGAUCCAAGAAAAAUAUAAACAAACAACUUUUGAUUGUUCCAAUCUUCAAAACAGUUUCUAAUAAGUAUAAAGUAGGCUCUGAUACCACUGUUGAGAAUUUACGUAAUCAUGUACAACGGAAAAAUAAAAUAAAUUUUAAUUUCUACCAAGGAUCUACUUUAUAUUUAGAUAGAAAUUAUACAUUUUUUAAAUUCUACAAAAUCCUUUGCUUUUCAUGAACUCGAACAAUAACGAUCUGCAAUCUACAACUGUUCUAUUAUCCAAUUUGUAAUGAAAAUCCGCACAAGGAAUAAAAUUAAGAGAACUACGAUUUUUACAUUUCUUGUGCUAGCAAUAAUAUAAAUUGUAUUCUCUACAGUUUUUCAAACCCUAAUAGCAUAUUAAUAUAAGUCCAAAUGGACUUGGCUCAUCUCUUAAAAUUAAUUUGGUCAAAUGUUUAAUUAAUUCAAUUAAUUAAAUUUGGUCCAUGAAUUAAUUAAUUCAAUUAAUUAAUUUGGGCCUAUUAAAAAGAAACUUAAUUAAUUAAUUGUCCAACGCUUGUCAAUUAAUUAAUUGGUAAAUCUCAUUAUUCUAUUUCUUCUUUUGUUUGUAACCCAUUAGAUUCUCGAUUACAAUAUCUAAUGACGUGAAUUAUUUUUUUGAUUUAGUCAAAAUCAAUAAAUUAAAAUACCCAUUUUUAAUUUAUCAUCAAUUCACAUCCAUCAUCCCAGAAUGACAUCUAGAAAUGUGUCAGGGCAAUACAUGUAACGAAAAAUGUUACGUGGUAUGACAAAAUCAAACUUUUUCGUUUACCGUGAAACUAUAAUUCCUUUGUCAAUAUAAUCUCAUCGAUCAUGAGAUAUGGAUAUGUGUCAUUCUCAAUUAUCAAUCAUAUCUUUCAUUCUACUAUUAACUCAAUGUAAGUCAAAAACUCCUUUUUGAUUUAUGUGUACAUCUUGACUAAUGAUUUCGUUAUCAAUUUAGCUAAAUGAAAUAUAGAACAUAAUCUCUUACUAUCUAAAAGUGAUGAAUCCUCUAUUGAUUAUUCACAAUCUCCAUAUGAUUUUUGACAUAUUGAACGAUGCCGUAUUAGCGACUCUUGACAGAGUAACAUCCCACAUUACCAAAAUAUGACUGUCCUUAUAUAAGGCACUAUGAUGAUAUCAAGUCAAAGAAUCAAUUUCACUAUCGAAUGUUAGAGAUUAACCACUAAUAUUCAAAUAGUUAUUCAUGUGAGAUCUCCUAAUGAGUCUUCAAAGUUUUGUUUUAUAACCAAACAUCCACGUUUUCAUUUAAAUGUCACCAUACUUUACAGAUGGCAGUGGGUUGGGUUCGAGGCAAGGCAGUGUGACCCGACGGCUUGCCCCGUUUAUUUAUUUAUUUAUUUUUACAUUUUCAAAAUUUCAAAAAUAGAAAAGAUAGAUCAUCAUCACUUUUGCAUUCGAUCCCCUUGUAACUAGAAUGGGUUAAAUACUCAUACUAAUUAUAGAACACUAGAAAUAGUUGCAUCAGUUUCAAAAAUAAAAUUAUUUUUAAUUUUUUUUCUCUUCAUGGGAUAGUUCGAGGCGGGGCAGGGAGAGUUUUUUGCCCUGUUUGGGUGGGACAGGUAGGGUUUUUUGCCCUCAAUACUAGGGGUAUAAGCGGUCCGAUUUUACCGAUUUUUGACAAAUUUUCAAAUUAAACCAUUUAAACCGGUUUGAGAAAAACUCAUACCUAAAUUAAAUCAUUUGAACGGUUUGAAAAAAACUCAAACCUAAAUCUAACGGUUUGGUUCGAUUUUAAACGUCCGGUUUCGUCAUAUUUUUUUUUUAUCUAUAUACUUUUAUGACAUUAAUUCAUUGAAUUUAAUAUAUAUUUAUAUCUUACUAGCAAUAAAUCUAAAACAAUUUAAGUCCUUGUUUGAACCAAAUUUUUUGUACAAAAAAAUGACAAUUUGGACCAUUAUCUCACAAGUCCAACCGUAUUUGUUGACCUGGUUUUUCAUGCGUGGGACCUAGCCUACUCUCCAACGGUCAAUUUUCUCAUUAUGAUAUCAUGAAAAAUAUGGCUCGAACAGGGGCUAAAUAUAUCUACUAAAUCAAAGUAAAAUCACAAUAAACUAAAAUAUAGUUUUUUUCAUUUUUGUUCACAUUUUUUAGGUUAAUGAUGUUAUGAUAACGGUACAAUACAAGUCUACUAAACGAGAUAUAAGGCCCAAAAAACAUCAUGAUAUCCAACAAGACCUCGUGAUUAUUAUAUCUGAAAAAAGGUUACUUAUUAGAUAAAGAGAAUAAUCAACUACAAUAAUAAAACAGUUGUUUAUAAUAUCUAAACAUAAAAAUUGCAUAAGCUUACGUUUGUAUAUUGUUACGAAACGCAUUUAAUUUCAAAUUUUUACCUCAGUUUGCUCAAAAAAAUUAUUGAUUUGAAACAUUAUUUGUAGCAAAUAUUAUCACCGAUCGCCUAGGAUCUCUUUGUCUCCGAUUUGGUGUAAUGGACUAUAAUUCAACUUGGAAGAGGCGUAAAAAAUCCGAAGAAGAAGUGUGUGGUGCCGGUGGCUUAAGACUGUGUCAGGUGUCGGUUGGAGUUCAUUUGAAUUCUAAAAAGAAAAAAUGGUUUUUGAUAGAUUAUGUUAGUUUUGAGAUUAUUAGAUAUAAAUUAGGAUUAUUAGGUAAUAAUAAUAUAUAUAUGUAUUAGAAAAUUAUAAAUUGAAAAAAAUACCCACAAAUGACAAAACCUUUGAAUUUGACAUAUUUCAAUGAAUUUUCAUUUUUUCAUUUUCUCAUUUUUAUAUAUUUUUUGCCGGUCCGAUUUGGUUUUAAACUGCAAUUAAAAUUCUCAAAUCUAAACCAAACAAUUUUGACCGGUUUGAUUUGGUUCAAAAUUAUUUCAUUGAUAGGGUUUACAUGGCGCCAAACCGACGGUUUCUAAAAUGUAAUUUGAGUUCAAUUUUCUAGUUUUGCAAUUUUUGCUUACAUCCUUAAUCAAUAUCACACUUUAACUUGUGAGAUCAGUUACUUAUUUCACAAGUAAAAAAUACCACACAUGAUAGUCUAAUAAUAUCUAUAUCUCGUUAUUGCUUACAACCAUCGACAAUUUAAGAUUCAGUUCUAUGUAAUUUGUAUUACCAAAACUUGAAUUUACGAACUCUAUUAUUUAAUUUGACCAGCCAUAAAAUUGCAUCAAUUACACACUAAAAGUGUUUAUGUCCAAAAUUGAUUUGACUUAGGAUAUAAUACUUACAUAUUAUCCAUUAGUUCUAAUUUUUUUUUUUUUUUUAGAAAGAAUAAAACACAUGUAUGCUCCUUAGUGAAAUUUUCAGUUUAUAGUUUAUAGUUUGUGUAUAAAGUUUAUAUAUAUAUAUAUAUAAACUUUACAAUUAUAAGAUAAUUUAAUACUUUUAAAUAAUUUUGUACAUAAGUGAAUUUUUGUCUUAUUAGUAGUAUUUUUACUUUGCAAAUAAUUUUUUAAAGAAAAUUGAUUUUUUUGUCUUAUAAGUAAUUUUUUAAUUAUAAUGUAAUUUUUUUUUGUUUAUAAAUAAUUGUUUUAGUUAAAAUAUUUUUAUUGACAAGAUAGUUUUGAACAAAAUAUGUUGUUCAAAAAUAAUUAUUUCAUUAAAUGUAAAUUUAUAAGAGACUAUGAGAAACAGCAAAAUAUCGUCGAUUUGGUAGGUUGAAAGAAACAAUCAUAAUUAUACUACAAGAUCUUGGUGAUUUUUAAAUCAUUCAAAAUUGAUGUUGAUGGAAAAAAAAAUUCCCAAACAUGGCAUUAACGAGUUUGACUUUUCAAGGUUAUUGUUUAUUGUUUAAUAAUGAUGCGUAGAAAACAAUACAACAUUCAAAAGAAAGAAAAAUCCUUAAAUUUGGCUUCUAGAUGGUUGCCAACAUAGACAGAGGAUGCCAAUAAUAAUAAUCCACGUGUAUGGGGACUUUAGGUUGGAACUUGGCUUUCAAAGCGUUCAGACUUUCCUAUCCCUUUAACUCUAGAAAUUUUACUAAGCAAACAAUAGAAUAAGCCCCAGUUUGACCCCAUUCUCAUUUUCAUUAUUUUUUCUUUCUUAUUUUUAACUAUAUAAUUUUUUAUAAAAUAAUAUUACACACAAAUUAAAAACUUUUCAUUCUUUUUCAAUCACAUAUUUUUCAAAAAAUAUUAUUUCAAUCAUUAAAAUUUCAAAAGAAUGAGGCCAAACAGGGCUAACUUUCAAAUCAAUAGGAGGAAUUGUGUGGGUUCCGCGCAACUGAUGUUUGAGUUUGUUAGCAUGGGAGCAAACAUACGCACGCUACAGAUUAAAGUUCACGGAUAGAAUUCUUCGAGAAGAGUUAGAAUGAUAGUUGAUAUUUCUUGAGAGGUCCUAAAUGAAUCACUUUAACCAGUGAAUUAAAUGAUUUUGUUUUGAUUCAAAUUGAGAAAGAGUAAAAUAACAUAUAUAGAAAAUAUUCUAUAAUUGUAGUCAUCCAGAAAAUUGAUGAAGUAAACGAAAAAAGACACGGCAUAUAAGCAAAAAUCAAAGUUUCAUUCCGGAGUUUGAGUUUUGUAUUGGACAAAUGCAGGAUAUAAACAAUAAUAUUUCUUGUCCUUCUCAUUCCAUUGAAAGAAAAGUAAAUAGAACUAUAUUGUGACGGCAGAAGACCGUUUAGAAGGAAGUAUCCGUGAAAUGUGUCUCUCGUGAUGAUUCGUUGAAUUCCACUUCUCAUCCUCUUCUACAUUCCGAAAGGCAUAAACCCUUUAAUUUUUCUCCUAAAUCACCUCUCCCGCGUUGCAACAAUUCUUGGUAUUUCUCUUUAAAUUCUUAUUAAUGUUCUUUCCAAAGGUAUAAUUUCAUAGUUUUUUUUAACUCUGUUUUUGCAAUCCAAUUGACUGAAAAUUCUAGAAACAGUGGAAAAGUCUGAUGAUGGUUGAGAAAAAUUGAAUCUUUUUUUUUUUUUCCUUUUCUAUUAAUCUGUAUUUGGAUAUCGAGGUUUGGGUUCUGGAAGAAUCUUGAGCUCUUUUUGGCUGAGAUUUUGAUAAAGAAAGGAAGAAUUUUUGAAGCUUUU